GAGAAAUGGCUACCACUGCUAUGGCAGGCAGCAGGCGCGCAAAUUGCCCAAUACCAAUCCUUUGGUGAGGCAGCGACGAAAAUAGCAUUUCCGACUUCUUAAGGAGUCAGAGUUUGCCAUGGAUAGUAUGUAAACACAGUAAUGAGUAACAACUGGAGGGCAAGUCUGGUGCCAGCAGCCGCGGUAAUUCCAGCUCCAGUAGCGUAUACUAAUAUUGUUGCUGUUAAAAAGCUCGUAGUUCGAUGCAGAGUUGAGGCUGUAGGACAGCUCCUUAAUCCAAAGUGCAAAUCGUUUAGCAAUAAUCAGGUUCCGUGCUUAAAAGGAGACUCAACUGUUCUGCAGAAUUUGUCCUCAAACUCUAGGCAGUGGUAUGUCUUGGCCAAGGCUCAUUCAUUUGAGUCCGAGGUGGGAGCACACCAAAGUGAGUGUGUGGUUAGAGGCAAAAGUCCUGCUAUGCAGGCUUCCUCCUCCCUCAGAGACAUAACC
rnacentral:rRNA from 1 species